AUGGCAUACGAUGAGGACCGAGCAAUGACAACUCGGACACGGGGUUUCGCGGGUUAUUACUGUACUUGGCGUUUGGUGCGGUACUUGGUUGUGCUCAUGACCAAGCUCAUGGGCGGACGCUACAUGCCCAAGUGCGGGUGCAUGAAGCAAAUGAGUGGGACGACGUGCGUUGGGAACGCGGUCAACGACGUAGUUGGCUCGGGUGGGUGCUCAUCAACAGGCAGCGAAGCGAGCUGCUACUCGAUGAAGGCGGCGGUGCGAACGUACGCGAAGCUCCGCGAGGACGGCCGAGGUUGGGAGCCUAGAAGGACUAACAAAGAAGGUCCAAUGGGGUGGUGGGGUCCCAAAUCCAGGCGCGAUGGAGGUGGAGGAGGCAGGAGUGCGUUGGGGUGGCCUGAAGGUCGAGGUCGCCAGUGGGUUCGCAGGAUGUAG
rnacentral:rRNA from 1 species